rnacentral:hammerhead_ribozyme from 1 species
ACCCAGCUGACGAGUCCCAAACAGGAUGAAACGCGCUUCCAUGUAU